ensembl:lncRNA novel transcript
AGGCCGGAGGUGGGGCCCGAGUUCCUGUCUCCAGCCCACGAUUUGCCGAUCCAUCUGUCUUCCUCAGAGAGAGAGGGCGGAUAAUGCAGACUGCGCUUCCUUGGAAGACGGCAGGCUCCAGGCCAGACAAACGAAUGUAUCAACCAUACAGAUGAAGAGCUGAGGCUCAGGGAAGGAAUUUGCCAAGGUCACGAAGCUGUAAGACACAGAACCUGGGGUGUCUGCCUGUAGAGCUCACACUGACUCUACAGCCACUGAUCCAAAGCUUCAAUGAGCAAGAGAUGAAGUGACCCCUCCAACCCCACAGCUCAGCGUCUUUCUUGAAGCUCCAACUCCAGGGCCAUUGUUUUCCUGUUCUCCCCGCUCCAAGGCCUCUCCUCUCUCCUUGGCCCAACUCUCUGACAGUGAUGCAGUUCUGGAAGCUGGAAAGCCCAAGAUCAAGGUGCCGACAAAUUCACUGUCUGGCGAGAGCCCUGUUUCCACACAGACUGUUGUAACCUCACAUGGCAGAAAAGGCAAAAAAUCUCUCUGGCGUCACUUUUAUAAGGACACUAAUCCUAUUCAUGAGGGUUCUACCCAUAUGACCUAAUCACCUUCCAAGGCCCCACAUCCUCAUAUCAUCACAUUGGAGGUUAGGAUUUCAACAUAUGAAUUUUGAAGGUAUGCAAACAUUCAGCCUAUAACAACACACAAAUACAAGAAUGGGAUUAUA